rnacentral:lncRNA from 1 species
CCAGAACUGAAUAGGUCAAUCAGAAAUGAGAAAAGAGUCUUUUUGGAAUCAGAUCAUAAAGGUGAAAAGUCUCCUUAUCUGCCAAAGGAAAUUUGAAGACAGCAAAGCUAUGACAUUCGUUUCAAUGGCUGCUUUGAGAUGAAUUUAUAGCGAGAGUUGUAAGUGAUGAUUAAAAACUCGGAUAUUUGGCAAAACAAGAUCAACAAAGACGACAACUAAAACUCCAGGAAUGAAUUAAAGGUGCAUCUAUGAUGGGCAUAUUUGCUAAAGAAAUUAGCACAAACAAAAAGAAGUCACAUUUGGCAUAAAGAUAAGAAGAAAUUCUUGCCUCCUCUGCUGUGAGUCUGCAGUCAUUGAUACCACUGGACAAAAAGUUUUUUGACCAUUACAGUCAACAGGAGCACAGAGUAUGGACUUCCAUGUGGUUUCUGGUGAGACCAUGGCCCUGGACAUCAACAUGUGUUCAGGUGGCAGUACAGACUAUGAACAACCUCAUGGGCUUCAGUGGUAACAUGGAUCACAAACAUCAACAUGGCCUCUGGCCGC